rnacentral:rRNA from 1 species
CCCUUAGAUGUUCUGGGCUGCACGCGCGCUACACUGAUGCGCUCAACGAGUUUAUGAACUUGCCCGGAAGGGUUGGUUAAUCUUUUUAAAACGCAUCGUGAUGGGGAUAGAUUAUUGCAAUUAUUAAUCUUCAACGAGGAAUUCCUAGUAAACGCAGAUCAUCAAUCUGCAUUGAUUACGUCCCUGCCCUUUGUACACACCGCCCGUCGCACCUACCGAUUGGAUGGUCCGGUGAAGCCUCGGGAUUGUGGUUCUUGCCGCUUUAUUGUGGCGUGACCGCGAGAACUUGUCUAAACCUUAUCAUCUAGAGGAAGGUGAAGUCGUAACA